UACGAAGGGGGCUAGCGUUGUUCGGAUUUACUGGGCGUAAAGCGCACGUAGGCGGAUCGUUAAGUCGGGGGUGAAAUCCUGGAGCUCAACUCCAGAACUGCCUUCGAUACUGGCGAUCUAGAGUCCGGAAGAGGUGAGUGGAAUUCCGAGUGUAGAGGUGAAAUUCGUAGAUAUUCGGAAGAACACCAGUGGCGAAGGCGGCUCACUGGACUGGUAUUGACGCUGAGGUGCGAAAGCGUGGGGAGCAAACAGG
rnacentral:rRNA from 1 species